UACAGAGGGUGCAAGCGUUGUUCGGAAUUAUUGGGCGUAAAGCGCGUGUAGGCGGCUUUGCAAGUCGGGUGUGAAAGCCCUCAGCUCAACUGAGGAAGUGCGCCUGAAACUGCAGAGCUUGAGUACCGGAGAGGAUGGCGGAAUUCCCCAAGUAGAGGUGAAAUUCGUAGAUAUGGGGAGGAACACCGGUGGCGAAGGCGGCCAUCUGGACGGAUACUGACGCUGAGACGCGAAAGCGUGGGUAGCAAACAGG
rnacentral:rRNA from 1 species